UACGAAGGGGGCUAGCGUUGCUCGGAAUCACUGGGCGUAAAGGGCGCGUAGGCGGCCGAUCAAGUCAGGGGUGAAAGCCUGUGGCUCAACCACAGAAUUGCCUUUGAUACUGUUUGGCUCGAGACCGGAAGAGGUUGGUGGAACUGCGAGUGUAGAGGUGAAAUUCGUAGAUAUUCGCAAGAACACCAGUGGCGAAGGCGGCUCACUGGUCCGGUACUGACGCUGAGGUGCGAAAGCGUGGGGAGCAAACAGG
rnacentral:rRNA from 1 species